GAAAGAUCUCCAAGCACUAGAUCCACUCAAAUCAAACGAACGGCUUAGCCCCGCUGCAGACGUGGUACAUCCAUGUUAUAGAUGGUGAAGUUCAGGCACAGAGAAGCCCCAUCUCCAGGUUCCUGGUUGGAAUCUGCUCCCCACUCAGCCGGCUGCUGAUGGACUAUUCCUGGUGACUUUGCUGGCUUCACUUCUCAUUUCCAGCCACCAAAAAAUGCCAUUUGUUUGAGCCGCUUCGGAUGUUUGGUAAUUGAAGAGAACUGCAGUGGACUGGUUACCUGCCAAGAGGGAUUGCAAAGUAGAAGACAGACAGCAUGAGGGUUCUGGUGUUUUUGGUGAAAAGGUCUCCUAUGAUGGUGGGAGCGAU